rnacentral:rRNA from 1 species
UACGUAGGGUGCGAGCGUUAAUCGGAAUUACUGGGCGUAAAGCGCUCGCAGGCGGAUCGAUAAGUCAGGGGUGAAAUCCCGGGGCUCAACCUCGGAAUUGCCUUUGAUACUGUCAAUCUCGAGUCCGGGAGAGGUGAGUGGAAUUCCUAGUGUAGAGGUGAAAUUCGUAGAUAUUAGGAAGAACACCAGUGGCGAAGGCGGCUCACUGGCCCGGAACUGACGCUCAUGAGCGAAAGCGUGGGGAGCAAACAGG